rnacentral:tRNA from 1 species
GGCUGGGUAGCUCAGGCGGUUAAGAGCAGUACCCUCAUAAAGUACAGGUCGUGGGUUCGAGUCCCACCCCAGCCA